GCUUGGUUGGCUCAGUCAGUAGAGCAUUCAACUCUUGAUCUUGAGUCAUGAGUUCAAGCCCCAUAUCGGGCA
rnacentral:tRNA from 1 species